GAUUGUGUGGUGGCCUAAUGGUUAGCGCGAUGGAUUCCGGAUCAAGCGGUCCGGGUUCGAGCCCUGGCCAGGGUCA